rnacentral:rRNA from 1 species
UAGCUAGUUGGUGAGGUAAAGGCUUACCAAGGCGACGAUCUGUAGCGGGUCUGAGAGGAUGAUCCGCCACACUGGAACUGAGACACGGUCCAGACUCCUACGGGAGGCAGCAGUGGGGAAUUUUGGACAAUGGGGGCAACCCUGAUCCAGCCAUGCCGCGUGAGUGAAGAAGGCCUUCGGGUUGUAAAGCUCUUUCGGCCGGGAAGAAAUCGCAUGGGCCAAUACCCUGUGUGGAUGACGGUACCGGAAUAAGAAGCACCGGCUAACUACGUGCCAGCAGCCGCGGUAAUACGUAGGGUGCGAGCGUUAAUCGGAAUUACUGGGCGUAAAGCGUGCGCAGGCGGUUUUGUAAGACAGGCGUGAAAUCCCCGGGCUUAACCUGGGAACUGCGUUUGUGACUGCAAGGCUAGAGUACGGCAGAGGGGGGUGGAAUUCCACGUGUAGCAGUGAAAUGCGUAGAGAUGUGGAGGAACACCAAUGGCGAAGGCAGCCCCCUGGGUCGAUACUGACGCUCAUGCACGAAAGCGUGGGUAGCAAACAGGAUUAGAUACCCUGGUAGUCCACGCCCUAAACUAUGUCAACUAGGUGUUGGGUGGGUAAAACCAUUUAGUACCGUAGCUAACGCGUGAAGUUGACCGCCUGGGGAGUACGGCCGCAAGGUUAAAACUCAAAGGAAUUGACGGGGACCCGCACAAGCGGUGGAUGAUGUGGAUUAAUUCGAUGCAACGCGAAAAACCUUACCUACCCUUGACAUGCCAGGAACUUGCCAGAGAUGGCUUGGUGCCCGAAAGGGAGCCUGGACACAGGUGCUGCAUGGCUGUCGUCAGCUCGUGUCGUGAGAUGUUGGGUUAAGUCCCGCAACGAGCGCAACCCUUGUCGUUAAUUGCCAUCAUUUAGUUGGGCACUUUAACGAGACUGCCGGUGACAAACCGGAGGAAGGUGGGGAUGACGUCAAGUCCUCAUGGCCCUUAUGGGUAGGGCUUCACACGUCAUACAAUGGUCGGUACAAAGGGUUGCCAAGCCGCGAGGCGGAGCCAAUCCCAGAAAGCCGAUCGUAGUCCGGAUUGCAGGCUGCAACUCGCCUGCAUGAAGUCGGAAUCGCUAGUAAUCGUGGAUCAGCAUGUCACGGUGAAUACGUUCCCGGGUCUUGUACACACCGCCCGUCACACCAUGGGAGCGGGUUCCGCCAGAAGUAGGUAGCCUAACCGCAAGGGGGGCGCUUACCACGGUGGGGUUCGUGACUGGGGUGAAGUCGAAACAAGGUAGCCGUAGGGGAACCUGCGGCUG